rnacentral:rRNA from 1 species
GGAGGAAAAGACAUCAACCGAGAUUCCGUUAGUAGUGGCGAGCGAACGCGGACCAGGCCAGUGCUUCUAAUUCAACUAGCAGAACCAUCUGGAAAGAUGGGCCAUAGCGGGUGACAGCCCCGUAUGCGAAAGUGAUGUUAGAAGACUCGAGUAGGGCGGGACACGUGUAAUCCUGUCUGAACAUGGGGGGACCACCCUCCAAGCCUAAAUACUCGUAUGCGACCGAUAGCGAACUAGUACCGUGAGGGAAAGGUGAAAAGCACCCCGAUGAGGGGAGUGAAACAGUACCUGAAACCGAUUGCCUACAAGCAGUGGGAGCCUCUUUAUGGGGUGACCGCGUACCUCUUGCAUAAUGGGUCUGUGACUUAAUGUAUCAAGCAAGCUUAAGCCGAUAGGUGUAGGCGCAGCGAAAGCGAGUCUGAAUAGGGCGACUUAGUUUGAUGUAUUAGACCCGAAACCCGGCGAUCUAGGCAUGACCAGGAUGAAGGUGGGGUAACACCCACUGGAGGUCCGAACCGAUUAACGUUGAAAAGUUACCGGAUGAGUUGUGUUUAGGGGUGAAAGGCCAAUCAAGCCGGGAAAUAGCUGGUUCUCCGCGAAAACUAUUGAGGUAGUGCCUCGCACGAACACCUUAGGGGGUAGAGCACUGGAUGGGCUAGGGGGUCGCGAGAUCUACCAAACCUAACCAAACUCCGAAUACCUAAGAGUGAUAUGCGGGAGACAGACGGCGGGUGCUAAGGUCCGUCGUCAAAAGGGAAACAGCCCUGACCUACAGCUAAGGCCCCCAAAUCGUAUCUAAGUGGGAAAGCAUGUGGGACUUCCAAAACAACCAGGAGGUUGGCUUAGAAGCAGCCAUCCUUUAAAGAAAGCGUAACAGCUCACUGGUCUAAACAAGAGGUCCUGCGGCGAAGAUGUAACGGGGCUCAAGAUACGUGCCGAAGCUUAGGGUGUGCCACUUAUGUGGUACGCGGUAGCGGAGCGUUCCGUAAGCCUGUGAAGCGAUCUGGUAAUGGGUCGUGGAGGUAUCGGAAGUGCGAAUGCAGACAUGAGUAGCGAUAAAAAGGGUGAGAUGCCCUUUCGCCGAAAGACCAAGGGUUCCUGCGCAAGGCUAAUCCGCGCAGGGUGAGCCGGCCCCUAAGACGAGCCCGAAGGGGGUAGUCGAUGGGAACCACGUUAAUAUUCGUGGGCCUGGUGGUGUGUGACGGAUGGUGUGUGUUGUAUGCUCUUAACGGAUUGAGCAUGCUUCGAAGCUGUCCCGGGAAAUAGCCCCACCGUAUAGACCGUACCCGAAACCGACACAGGUGGUCAGGUAGAGUAUACCAAGGCGCUUGAGAGAAGUGUCCUGAAGGAACUCGGCAAAUUGCCUCCGUACCUUCGGAAGAAGGAGGCCCUCACAUUGCGCAAGCAGUAUGAGGGGGCACAGGCCAGGGGGUAGCGACUGUUUAGCAAAAACACAGGGCUCUGCUAAGUCGGCUUCAAGACGACGUAUAGGGUCUGACGCCUGCCCGGUGCCUGAAGGUUAAGUGGAGGGGUGCAAGCUCCGAAAUGAAGCCCAGGUAAACGGCGGCCGUAACUAUAACGGUCCUAAGGUAGCGAAAUUCCUUGUCGGG